AGUAGAAGCUACUCAAACUACCUAAAUGUUUGACAAACACAUUAUCGACACUGCAACAAAUUUGUUUCUCCAUAGUCAAGAUAGGUUGCAACUAAUUCAUAUUUAGACAUGGAUUCAUAAAAAAAAUAUAUGCAAGUUGUUCCACGAGAAUUGUGUUCUCUCAAUAUAAAACCCAAUAAAUUUCAACAAUAGUCUUGAUUGCAAUGAUAUGUUUCCUAACAUCAAUUAUAAUGUGUGAAAGUUUCAUAUUCAGAUAGCAAUUGGGGUGAAAUCAAUUCCAGAACACAGCUUGAUAUAAAUUUCAAGUAACAAAUAUAUGCUGAAACAUCUAAUCACAAUCUGUAAUCUCAUAUGCAAAGAUGAUAACAAGUUAAUACAAAACCAAAAUAAAUUUUACUCGAUUGAUUGUGGAAAAUUCUUAUGUAUUCUGAGAUUAGCACAAUAAAAAGAUUCAAUUGUAAGAAAUUAGAGUCUCUCGCCUUCAAUAUAUCACGAAUGGCAGAUGAAGAGUCAUAAGUAAUCAUCUAUUCACAAUUAUCUAAGGUUGAGAACCAAUUGAAUUUUGAAUUCCCAUAACUGCAGCAAACGAGUAAAUAGUUUCCUUGAUAUCAGUCCAUUCAAGAAUUUCAGCUACUUUGGGUUAAUCGAGGAAAGUUUCCCUUGUAGUAGUUUUGAUGAUAUUUUGUGGAGGGUGUAGUAGAUUUUGUAAUUUAUGAUUUUUGCAGUAUUACUUGAAAUAUUUCAGAUUUCAUAUGCAAUUAUGAUUUUUUUUCCCUAUUUUUAUAUCAUAAUCCACAGAGAUCGAUGACCUUAUGCGCAUAGAUAUCAGAUAAUUUUUCUUAACUUUAUUCAGGUCAUCUGAUGAGAAACAUCUUGGGCCUGUUCCUGCCCAGUUGAAGUUAGCUAUUAGCCCAAUCAUAACCCAGUCCAGAGUUGGUACGUAAAAGUUUAUCUGGGUUUCCAGGGAUGAAUUCAUCACAAAUUAGUAGGGCCCAUCAUUUCCCUCUAAAAAUUUUUCACGGAGCAAUUCUCAGGCAAACAAUGGUGAAUUACUACCGCUGAUGAACAAAACCUAGCUAUAGUAACCAGACGUUGUUUAUACACGCAUUUCGCGUACUACAGUGACAGCGAGCGAUUGUAGCUGUGUUUACAGUAGAAAUUUCUGCUGUUAUUUGAUUGUUUCUGUCCAAAAGCAUUUGGGCAAUGAAUUUUUUACUUUCUCGGGUUAAUCGCUGAGGAAUCAACUGGACUAAUGCUUUAUUCUGAUUGAUCACGGAUUUUAUUUCAGACAUUUGAUUUGAAGGCGCUUUGGUGGAUUGCUAAAGCUUGAUUGACUGCAGAAAGAGAAAACAUCACAUAUUUCAGAAAUGCUGCUAAGUCUUUAUUUCGUCUUCCAUUAUUUUUUUAUUGAAUACUAUAAGUUAUAUGAAUAUGAAAAAGUUAGCGUUCUGAUAUUUGAUUGAUUUAUGGUAACCGUGAUUCUGAUUUCUUCUUUUGAAUACAUCUUUACACCUUAAAUUGAAACUUUAUGCUUAGGCUUGCUAAUUCUGCACCAUUCUCUGAUCUCACAAAAUUUUGCACUGCCUAAUGAAUUUGUUCUCUAUUUAAAUAUGUAUAUGUUUUUUACUUCUUCUUCAACAGUGAUAGCUACAGGGCACUUAAAGGCCCCACGGUCAGUGCAGGAGGUUUAUAGGUCAAGUCUGGUUUGUGGAAGAGUAUGCAUCCUAUUUGACUAUGAUCCAGGUCGACCAAAGAACAUCACCGAGCUCCACCAUGAUGCCAGACAAUAGUCUAGGCGAGUUGGUCAACCAUCACUCUAAAAGCAAUGGUUGAAGUCAUGAGCGAAGUCGCAGUCAAUGACCUGAAGGAGAGGUGCAAUAUCACUCAAAGUUGAGUUGAUUAGCACCUUGAACUUAGUCAAUCACUCGUACAGGUGUCAUAAUGGUCACGGUGUGAAGAGACCGCUUCCUAUAUUCUCUCCGCAUUCGUAAGAACGGAUAAGGAAACCUAUCCGAACGAAUCAACCUUGAUGCACGUUACCAAUAAUGGAGCCUCUGGUGCCCCAUAAGUCUAAUUUAAUAUCUGGCAAUGAAGAAUUUACCUGAAGGUGACUCUUCAAGUGGUACAAGGUUAGUCCUUGAAUUCCCAUGAGUUUCAAGACUGAUUUUGGAGUAGCUUCUGCAACAGAAGAAAUCAUAUUGAUAACUGAAUACAGUAGCACUUUAUUGGGGCAUCAUUUGCUAGACAUGUAUUCACUUACUGUCUGCUCCACCAAGUUGAUUAACUGCCUCUAUGAACUGCUCAUGAAGGUCCAGAGUCCAUUUCAGUCUUGGCUUGGCAUCAGUGGAAAGUACAAGUCCUGAAUCUCCGGUGCCAUUUGCACCUUGGUGGAACAAUUGCCUUUCAGGUGGAGUGAACAUUCUU